UACGUAGGCAGCAAGCGUUGUUCGGAGUUACUGGGCGUAAAGGGUGCGUAGGUGGCUCUAUAAGUAUGGUGUGAAAUCUCCCGGCUUAACUGGGAGGGUGCGCCGUAGACUGUGGGGCUAGAGUGUGGGAGAGGAAAGUGGAAUUCCUGGUGUAGCGGUGAAAUGCGUAGAUAUCAGGAGGAACACCGGUGGUGUAAACGGCUUUCUGGACCAUAACUGACACUGAGGCACGAAAAGCGUGGGUAGCAAACAGG
rnacentral:rRNA from 1 species